rnacentral:rRNA from 1 species
CAGCCGCCACGGGAAUACAGAGGGUGCGAGCGUUAAUCGGAUUUACUGGGCGUAAAGCGUGCGUAGGCGGCUAAUUGAGUCGGAUGUGAAAUCCCCGAGCUUAACUUGGGAAUUGCAUUCGAUACUGGUUAGCUAGAGUGUGGGAGAGGAUGGUAGAAUUCCAGGUGUAGCGGUGAAAUGCGUAGAGAUCUGGAGGAAUACCGAUGGCGAAGGCAGCCAUCUGGCCUAACACUGACGCUGAGGUACGAAAGCAUGGGGAGCAAACAGGAUUAGAUACCCGUGUAGUCCCUGUCUCUUAUAC